GUUGAGCAGGGACAAUGAGGAUCAACACCAAAUGAGAAAAAAAAUAAGAAAUAAGAAAGUGCAUGACAACUGGCUAUCUCAUACAAUCAAUUAGAGAAGGAAUAAAAGUCGCAAAGUAUCAACAGAAGAUCCGAUGGCAUGAUCAAUUCAAAAUCUAUAAGAAAGUGGCAAUCGAAGAUCAUCUAAAAUGGAGAAAAACUAACAAAGUAAAAAUAGACGAUUUUAGAUCAUAAUUGGAUUAACCAAUAGCCGAAAGUUGAUAACUAUAUACCUAAUAUUGAUAAAAAGUAAAUCAACAAAAAGUAACAACA
rnacentral:lncRNA from 1 species